ACCUGGAUGGAUGGAAAACUGUAUUCUGCUUGUCUCUGAGUAUAAAAAGGUCCAAUAAAACAAGAAAGCAUUUUAGCAGGCUAAUUAUCGCAGUAAUAAACAUAGACCAGCUUACAUAAUGCAUAUACAGGCACCGCCAGACUGGGGACUCCUGCCAGAAGAAAGAUGAUCACGUAGAUCCAUGAAGGGUAUGGUACAGAUGCCAGAGAUGGGAACUCCUUCUGUAAAGCACAAACAGGGGGUUGUAACUUGAGAAGGAGAUGAGGCCUCCCCAACCCACACCAAAAGCAUAAAAGACCUGGGCACCUGCAUCCAGCCAAGUGGUUGGGUUCAUCAACUCGUCAACCUGCAAG